CACCCUUAUCCCUGUGUUUUCACCUGAAUUGAAUUGUAUGCUAUGGCUAUUUAACCAAAAACAAAGGCACACUGAAUUGUAAUAUUUACUAAAAACAUUUGGGAAUCACAAGAAUAAACACCACAGCUAUCCAUGCAGAUGGAACCCAGGCCACAUCACACCCUCCUGUAACAAAGACACUUAAUUGCAGAGCCAGGGCACAGACUUAUCAUCUCAAGUUCUUAUGUUGUAUCCACCAGUUGCACCUGAGGUUGAAGUUCAAAUCCUAGUGAAGCAACUGCUGAAGAAAUAGUAGAGGGAGUUAGUGAAUGAAGCUCUUCCAUGGUGUGGUUAUCACUGACAUCAUCUCUUUGUCCUGAGCCUUUUCCAGCCAACGACUGCUCCAGUUAACUAGAGAGGAACCAAAUCCAAGACAAGUAGGGGGUGUGGCUAAGCAGUGGCCAUGAUCGGUCGCACUUCAUGAAGCUCUCCUUGUUAAUUCACUAUCUACUCAAGAGGAUAAACCCUACCUUACCCCAUUUUUGUGUUAAGUCAUAUUAUACUGGGGUUAACCUGGCAUGCUGUGAUUAUUUUAUUUGGACUCCCUGAGAUCUGAUUUAGCCCGUUGGAAACACAGGCUGAGGCCCUCACACAACACCUAAUCCCCCCUUCCCUGGCCGCCCGGGUAAGAGCGGUGAUAGUCCUGCUGAAAAUCUGAGACCAUUCUAUUUACUUCAAUCUGAAUAUGGAAGGCACUGCUUAUAAAGCUAGAUCAGCAGAUGCAGGGCAGCUUUCACAAUCUCAAGCACUCCAUCAGAGACCCAUGUAGAGAGGAGGAUACUACCAUACUUAAGAUGACGGAGAGGGCAGAUGUCACCAUGCAGCACAUGGAACCUCAAGUCACUGCCAAUAACCUCUAUCCCUCGACAGUUAAUAAUCAUUACUGCUUACUACAGUCUUGCGAGACAGAAGAGGAGCAAACUCUGCUCAAGAGUGAACCUAGGGAUCCUUAUCCCAUAGCUGGAUCAACCAUCGUCACAAAACAGAGGAGUACUUAAGCAGAAUUUACACUAGCUGGAACUCAGGAUGGUGCGGCGAGCCUCCUGAUAAGUAAUAUCAACAUAACUGAAGUCUUGAGCGCACACAGUCAGGCUCAAGCUGAGCUGGGAGAGCGAGAAGAAACCCAACAUAAAUGUGGUAACUUUAAGAACAAAAUAGUACAGGACGUGGGAUGCAUGUUAGUUUCGGCCCACUGCCCUAUUGCAAUCUCAGCAUACUGAAACUAUUUGUACAGUGGCAGUACAUAUCCCAACCGUUCAAGACUAUACCGCAGCUCCCCUACAUACAACUUGUGAACCAGGUUGAGGUCUCUGGAGUGGGUUAAGCAUAGACAGUUACUUCAUAAAACUCAUUUCAGUUGUAUGGUCUCAUUUAGACUUCAAGCUGUUCUGUUCUAUGGAGUCGUGAGACCUUUACAAUAUCCGAUGUCUCGGGGCACAUAGUUUGAUUUGACUUGUUAUUUGUUAUACACCAUGUUUGAAUUUCUGAGCUAUGCUACCUCAGUUCUUGUUUAAAUCUACUUGCAAAUGUUUUUACAGCCAUGGAUAUUAGUACAUCAUUUUUUCCUUGCUUAGACCUCUUGGCAUUUGAAGUAGCAGCACUGUCUAAUACAACUUACAUAACUGUUAGUAAUUAUACUGUUUAGCCCUUUCUGUUAUAUUAAUAGAUAGUUAAAUAUCCUCCUCUUUUAUAAAACCUAUUUUAACUAUGCGGUCUCAUAUAGACUUACCGCUAUAUUAUUAUUCUGCGCAUUUGAGAGACAGUCGUAAUACCCACUAUCUCAGGCCAUAUAGUUUAACUAUUUUCUCAUGUGUGGAAUACUGAGCUAUACUGCCCCAGUUUUUGUUCAUAUAUUUAUGCAAACAUUUCUACUGCUAUGAAGGUAGGCACAUAAUUAUUCUUUACUUAGACCACUUUGUAUUUGACCGAGCUGCGCUCUCUAAUACAUCUGAUAUAAUUGUCAGUAGCUAAUUGUGUUAGCCCUCCCUGCUAUAGAUCUGGAAUAUUGUUUAAUAUUCAAAUAUCCCCCUUACGCACCCAAUCUGUGUAGUUUCGUCUUUUGCUACAAGCAGAUACUAAAUCCCUCUGCAGACAAGUAGAACUGAUAUACGUAUACUUAGUGAAUAACUACUUAGGUAUCAGUAUAAUACAUUUGUUACAACUAGGCCCAGUGUUUAUAUCAGGUUCUCACUGUUUGAUAGUUUUACUAUAAACAUGUAAUUAAGACAUACUAAGUAUUUUGUAAUGAUCCUCCUUAUUUAUAGCCUCCUAGACGGGGCCUUGAUAUCCUACUAGAGAUCUGCAUGUGACUCGUGCCUUGGCAAAAGGGUAGUUAUAACCAGAACCAAAAACAAGGGGAUUGAUACAAAAAAAUACACUUUUGAUUAAGUGACCUCUCUUUAACAUGUCCCAACUUAAAGGGACAGUCUACACCAGAAUUUUUAUUGUUUUAAAAGAUAGAUAAUCCCUUUAUUACCCAUUCCCCAGUUUUGCAUAACCAAUACUGUUAUAUUAAUAUACUUUUAACCUCUGUGAUUAUCUUGUAUCUAAGCCUCUGCAAACUGCCCCUUUAUUUCAGUUCUUUUGACAGACUUGCAGUUUAGCCAAUCAGUGCCUGCUCCCAGAUAACUUCAAGUGCACAAGCACAGUGUUAUCUAUAUGAAAUACAUGAACUAACACCCUCUAGUGGUGAAAAACUGUUAAAAUGCAUUCUGAAAAUAGGUGGCCUUCAAGUUCUAAGAAAUUAGCAUAUGAACCUCCUAGGUUAAGCUUUCAACUAAGAAUACCAAGAGAACAAAGCAAAAUUGGUGAUAAAAGUAAAUUGGAAAAUUAUUUAAAAUUACAUGCUCUAUCUGAAUCAUGAAAGUUUAUUUUGGCCUAGACUGACCCUUUAAUCAUAGCUUGUAUAUAGUAUAGUAUUAUAUACAUGUUCAAAACUCCCUAGACUCCUCAUGAGUGGUACUCUUUUAUUAUUAUUUCUUCUGUUAUGUGUGAUCAGU